rnacentral:lncRNA from 1 species
AGGCUACAAGUGGCAAGGAAGAUUCUAUUUCAAAUAUAGCCACAGAAAUAAAGGAUGGACAAAAAUCUGGGACAGUGUCUUCUCAGAAACAACCGGCCUUGAAGGAUACAAGUGACAAGGAUGAUUCUGUUUCGAACACAGCCACAGAAAUAAAAGAUGAACAAAAAUCUGGGACAGUGCUUCCUGCUGUUGAACAGUGUUUAAACAGGAGUCUCUACAGACCUGAUGCUGUUGCACAGCCUGUGACAGAGAAUGAGUUUUCUUUGGAAUCUGAGAUUAUUUCAAAACUAUACAUCCCAAAGAGAAAGAUUAUUUCUCCACGAUCUAUAAAAGAUGUGCUUCCUCCUGUUGAAGAGGCUGUUGACAGGUGUCUCUACCUACUGGACCGUUUUGCACAGCCUGUGACAAAGGAUAAGUUUGCUUUGGAAUCUGAGAAUAUUUCAGAACCAUACUUUACGAACAGAAGGACUAUUUCUCAACAAUCUGCAGAAAAUUUAGAUGCUGCAUGUGGCAUUGACAAAACAGAAAAUGGAAACAUGUUUGAAGACCAAAAUGUUGAUAAGGAAGGAAAAGCACUACCAGCAACUGGACAAAAAGCAAAUGUGUCUCCUGAGCAACCGCCUUUAUUCACGAAUCUUCUGAGCGACCUCCUUUAUCCACGCUUACUCUGAAAGAGGCAGAUCCCAGUUCAAAAGCAGCCAUGAGAAGGAAGGAUUCACCACCUCCAGGAAA